rnacentral:siRNA from 1 species
AGAAUUGAUAAAGGGUACCGUGCA